AUGAGUUAUGUCAUGUUAUCGACAUGUGAAUUCAUAGCAUGUCAGAAGGCAGACCCGGAGAACUGAAACAUCUUAGUACCCGGAGGAAGAGAAAGAAAAAUCGAUUCCCUGAGUAGCGGCGAGCGAAACGGGAAAAGCCCAAACCAACAAGCUUGCUUGUUGGGGUUGUAGGACACUCUAUACGGAGUUACAAAAGAACAUGUUAGACGAAUCAUCUGGAAAGAUGAAUCAAAGAAGGUAAUAAUCCUGUAGUCGAAAACAUAUUCUCUCUUGAGUGGAUCCUGAGUACGACGGAGCACGUGAAAUUCCGUCGGAAUCUGGGAGGACCAUCUCCUAAGGCUAAAUACUCUCUAGUGACCGAUAGUGAACCAGUACCGUGAGGGAAAGGUGAAAAGUACCCCGGAAGGGGAGUGAAAGAGAACUUGAAACCGUGUGCUUACAAGUAGUCAGAGCCCGUUAAUGGGUGAUGGCGUGCCUUUUGUAGAAUGAACCGGCGAGUUACGAUCUGAUGCAAGGUUAAGCAGCAAAUGUGGAGCCGCAGCGAAAGCGAGUCUGAAUAGGGCGUUGAGUAUUUGGUCGUAGACCCGAAACCAGGUGAUCUACCCUUGGUCAGGUUGAAGUUCAGGUAACACUGAAUGGAGGACCGAACCGACUUACGUUGAAAAGUGAGCGGAUGAACUGAGGGUAGCGGAGAAAUUCCAAUCGAACUUGGAGAUAGCUGGUUCUCUCCGAAAUAGCUUUAGGGCUAGCCUCAAGUGAUGAUUAUUGGAGGUAGAGCACUGUUUGGACGAGGGGCCCCUCUCGGGUUACCGAAUUCAGACAAACUCCGAAUGCCAAUUAAUUUAACUUGGGAGUCAGAACAUGGGUGAUAAGGUCCGUGUUCGAAAGGGAAACAGCCCAGACCACCAGCUAAGGUCCCAAAAUAUAUGUUAAGUGGAAAAGGAUGUGGCGUUGCCCAGACAACUAGGAUGUUGGCUUAGAAGCAGCCAUCAUUUAAAGAGUGCGUAAUAGCUCACUAGUCGAGUGACACUGCGCCGAAAAUGUACCGGGGCUAAACAUAUUACCGAAGCUGUGGAUUGUCCUUUGGACAAUGGUAGGAGAGCGUUCUAAGGGCGUCGAAGCAUGAUCGCAAGGACAUGUGGAGCGCUUAGAAGUGAGAAUGCCGGUGUGAGUAGCGAAAGACGGGUGAGAAUCCCGUCCACCGAUUGACUAAGGUUUCCAGAGGAAGGCUCGUCCGCUCUGGGUUAGUCGGGUCCUAAG
rnacentral:rRNA from 1 species